UGGAUAGUAAUAUUAAUGAAAUUUAACGGAUUUGGCGGCAAGAUAGCCACUUAGAGGAACCUGCCCUGUAAACGAUGAGCCACGAUUAACCUUACUUUUACUAGAAUUCAGUUUGUAUACCGCUGUUGUCAGUUAGUUUCUUUAGAAAACUUUCGUACAUGAUAAAUUCAAGGACUUCAAGUAAAGGUGCAGCUUAUGUAAAAGAUAGAGGUGGGUUACAAUUAAAAGAGUAAUAUGGAUAAAGUUAGGAAAAAACUUUUGAAGGUGGAUUUAAUAGUAAAGUUUAAUAAGACUUGAUUAGAGCUCUAUCUUGUGUACACACCGCCCGUCGCUCGCGGGA
rnacentral:rRNA from 1 species